AGGCCCAGAGUGCCAGCUUUGCCCUAUCCCAUAGCCUGGAGCCACCACAGGAGGGGCACUCCACUCUCUUGGGCUCCUGGAGCCUCAGAGGCAGGGCCAUGUUGUCCAGUGGCCUUCCAGCCACCUGGGAAUGUUCUGAGCUGGGCUGUGACAUGUGCUUCCUCUCGAAGAGCCAGUGGAUUUGAUGAGAAGCACCGAGAGCACCGCCCGGCUCCCGGCAUCUGCGAGGCCUCGCACAGAGCCAGCCGGGAGUGCAGGAGGGAGAACUUUCCUGUGGACGUCCUGUGUUCUCCAGACGCAGAGAACCCUCAUCAACCGAGGGGGAGGUCACUUCCGAAUCCACAGAUGGCGUGUGAGUGCAUGGCGAGCGCCUCCAGGACACACUUACUGUUCCCUUGCUCUGGCCAGACGCCAGCCGGACCCUGUGUGUGCGCGCCGUGCUGCUCUUUGCAGCUGCCUGCAAGGGGUUCCUGCGAAGACCAGCACCUUGGGGAAGAGCCUGCGGCUGAACUUGAACUCGCAGCUACCUGAGUCAGACCUGUGCUUUUUCACCUCUACGGAAGAUGUCAGAGCGUUUCCCUAGCAAUGUUUUAGAAGUUACUUCUGUCUGGAAAAAAAUGGAAAAAAUGGCAAAUUAUGUUAUGUAUAAUUUGAUAAUUUUAAAGAAUUAAUGAUGUAAUUAUUACUCAAA
rnacentral:lncRNA from 1 species